rnacentral:rRNA from 1 species
UACGUAGGGUGCGAGCGUUAAUCGGAAUUACUGGGCGUAAAGCGUGCGCAGGCGGUUUGCUAAGACCGAUGUGAAAUCCCCCGGGCUCAACCUGGGAACUGCAUUGGUGACUGGCAGGCUAGAGUAUGGCAGAGGGGGGUAGAAUUCCACGUGUAGCAGUGAAAUGCGUAGAGAUGUGGAGGAAUACCGAUGGCGAAGGCAGCCCCCUGGGCCAAUACUGACGCU